UGUCCAGUUUGAUGAAGGCCUGCCUCCUAUUCUUAAUGCACUGGAGGUGGCUGGCUGUGAGAGCAGGCUGGUGCUGGAGGUAGCACAGCAUCUGGUCAGAACGAUCGCCAUGGAUAGCACAGAGGUUCUGGAUCCCAGAGCCCCUAUCAGGAUCCCUGUGGCCCCCAAGACCUUGGGCAUUUGAGAACCCAUUGAUGAGAGGGGUCCAAUUAGCACCAAACAAACUGCUCCUAUUCACGCUGAAGCCCCUGAGUUCACAAACAUGAGUGUGGAGCAGGAGAUCCUGGUCACCAGCAUCAAAGUGGUAGAUCUGCUGGCACCAUACACAAAGGGUGGAAAGAUUGGUCGGUUUGGCGGUGCUGGUGUUGGCAAGACUGUUGAUUAUGGAGCUGAUCAACAAUGUGGCCAAGGCUCACGUGGUUACUCUGUGUUUGCUGGAGUGGGUUGCGCUGGUGUACGGUCAAAUGAACGAGCCCCCAGGUGCCCGUGCCAGAGUUGCUCUUACCGGUUUGACUGUUGCUGAAUACUUCCGUGAUCAGGAGGGACAGGACGUUCUUCUCUUUAUUGACAACAUCUUUAGGUUU